AGCUCCAAUAGCGUAUAUUAAAGUUGUUGCAGUUAAAAAGCUCGUAGUUGGAUUUCGGCGAUGCGUACGGUGGUCCGCCGCAAGGCGAGCACUGCCGUGGUGUCGCUUUUUUUCUCGGCGCCGCCGUGUGCCCUUGAUUGGGUGUGCGGAUUCUGGAGCCGGGACCUUUACUUUGAAAAAAUUAGAGUGUUCAAAGCAGGCGUUUCGCUUGAAUAGAUUAGCAUGGAAUAAUGGAAUAGGACUUUGGUCUUAUUUUGUUGGUUUCUAGGACCGAAGUAAUGAUUAAUAGGGACAGUUGGGGGCAUUAGUAUUUAAUUGCUAGAGGUGAAAUUCUUGGAUUUAUGAAAGACUAACUACUGCGAAAGCAUUUGCCAAGGAUGUUUUCA
rnacentral:rRNA from 1 species